GAUGAACGCUGGCGGCGUGCCUAAUACAUGCCAGUCGAGCGAACGGACGAGAAGCUUGCUUUUCUGAUGUUAGCGGCGGACGGGUGAGUAACACGUGGAUAACCUACCUAUAAGACUGGGAUAACUUCGGGAAACCGGAGCUAAUACCGGAUAAUAUUUUGAACCGCAUGGUUCAAAAGCGAAAGACGGUCUUGCUGUCACUUAUAGAUGGAUCCGCGCUGCAUUAGCUAGUUGGUAAGGUAACGGCUUACCAAGGCAACGAUGCAUAGCCGACCUGAGAGGGUGAUCGGCCACACUGGAACUGAGACACGGUCCAGACUCCUACGGGAGGCAGCAGUAGGGAAUCUUCCGCAAUGGGCGAAAGCCUGACGGAGCAACGCCGCGUGAGUGAUGAAGGUCUUCGGAUCGUAAAACUCUGUUAUUAGGGAAGAACAUAUGUGUAAGUAACUGUGCACAUCUUGACGGUACCUAAUCAGAAAGCCACGGCUAACUACGUG
rnacentral:rRNA from 1 species